rnacentral:rRNA from 1 species
GAUGAACGCUGGCGGCGUGCCUAAUACAUGCAAGUCGAGCGAACAGACGAGGAGCUUGCUCCUCUGACGUUAGCGGCGGACGGGUGAGUAACACGUGGAUAACCUACCUAUAAGACUGGGAUAACUUCGGGAAACCGGAGCUAAUACCGGAUAACAUGUUGAACCGCAUGGUUCAACAGUGAAAGACGGUCUUGCUGUCACUUAUAGAUGGAUCCGCGCCGCAUUAGCUAGUUGGUAAGGUAACGGCUUACCAAGGCAACGAUGCGUAGCCGACCUGAGAGGGUGAUAGGACACACUAGACGUGAGACACGGUCCAGACUCCUACGAGAGGCAGCAGUAGGGAAUCUUCCGCAAUGGGCGAAAGCCUGACGGAGCAACGCCGCGUGAGUGAAGAAGGUCUUCGGAUCGUAAAACUCUGUUAUUAGAGAAGAACAAAUGUGUAAGUAACUAUGCACGUCUUGACGGUACCUAAUCAGAAAGCCACGGCUAACUACGUG